rnacentral:misc_RNA from 1 species
GAUGAAGAACGCAGCGAAAUGCGAUAAGUAAUGUGAAUUGCAGAAUUCAGUGAAUCAUCGAAUCUUUGAACGCACAUUGCGCCCGCUAGUAUUCUGGCGGGCAUGCCUGUCCGAGCGUCAUUUCAACCAUCAAGCCCCGGGCUUGUGUUGGGGUCCUGCGGCCGUCCGCAGCCCCCGAAAAGCAGUGGCGGGCUCGCUAUCACACCGGGCGUAGUAGAUUUUAUCUCGCUCAGGGCGUGCUGCGGGUUCCGGCCGUUAAAGAGCCUUUUUUACCCAAGGUUGACCUCGGAUCAGGUAGGAAGACCCGCUGAACUUAAGCAUAUCAAUAAGCGGAGGA